UAUUGGCUUAGUUAGGAGGCAAAGAUUAAGUGGUUAUUUAUUUGUCUUUUUCCAGGCCUAUUGAGGGGAUAACCUACUUUUUGAUUUAGCUGUUCUCCAAGCAGCCUAACAUUU
rfam:Ricinus communis cultivar Hale ctg_1100012350814, whole genome shotgun sequence.